rnacentral:rRNA from 1 species
UACAGAGGCCUCGAGCGUUAAUCGGAGUCACUGGGCUUAAAGGGUGCGUAGGCGGGUCCGCAAGUGCCUUGUGAAAUCCCACGGCUCAACCGUGGAAUGGCUCGGCAGACUGCGGGUCUUGAGGUCGGUAGGGGUCGCUGGAACUCUAGGUGGAGCGGUGAAAUGCGUAGAUAUCUAGAGGAACGCCAAAGGUGAAGACAAGCGACUGGGCCGAUUCAGACGCUGAGGCACGAAAGCGUGGGGAGCGAACGGG